rnacentral:rRNA from 1 species
GGUCUCCUCCCAAAGAGUAACGGAGGAGCACGAAGGUGGGCUAAUCACGGUUGGACAUCGUGAGGUUAGUGCAAUGGCAUAAGCCCGCUUAACUGCGAGAAUGACGGUUCGAGCAGGUGCGAAAGCAGGUCAUAGUGAUCCGGUGGUUCUGUAUGGAAGGGCCAUCGCUCAACGGAUAAAAGGUACUCCGGGGAUAACAGGCUGAUACCGCCCAAGAGUUCAUAUCGACGGCGGUGUUUGGCACCUCGAUGUCGGCUCAUCACAUCCUGGGGCUGAAGUCGGUCCCAAGGGUAUGGCUGUUCGCCAUUUAAAGUGGUACGCGAGCUGGGUUUAGAACGUCGUGAGACAGUUCGGUCCCUAUCUGCCGUGGGCGUUGGAAGAUUGAAGGGGGCUGCUCCUAGUACGAGAGGACCGGAGUGGACGAACCUCUGGUGUUCGGGUUGUGUCGCCAGACGCAUUGCCCGGUAGCUAAGUUCGGAAUUGAUAAGCGCUGAAAGCAUCUAAGCGCGAAGCGAGCCCUGAGAUGAGUCUUCCCUGACAGUUUAACUGUCCUAAAGGGUUGUUCGAGACUAGAACGUUGAUAGGCAGGGUGUGUAAGCGUUGUGAGGCGUUGAGCUAACCUGUACUAAUUGCCCGUGAGGCUUAACCAUACAACACCCAAGGGGUUUUGUA